AUCCCAGCUCCAAUAGCGUAUAUUAAAGUUGUUGCAGUUAAGAAGCUCGUAGUUGGAUUUCUGGCAGGAGUGACUGACCACAAACUCUGUUUGUGAGUUGUGUCACUCUGGCCAUCCUUGGGGAGAGUUUGUCUGGCAUUAAGUUGUCGGGCAGAGGAUCCUCAUCGUUUACUGUGAAAAAAUUAGAGUGUUCAAAGCAGGCUUAUGCCGUUGAAUAUAUUAGCAUGGAAUAAUAAGAUAGGACUUUGGUACUAUUUUGUUGGUUUGCGCACCAAAGUAAUGAUUAAUAGGGACAGUUGGGGGUAUUCGUAUUCCGUUGUCAGAGGUGAAAUUCUUGGAUUUACGGAAGACGAACUACUGCGAAAGCAUUUACCAAGGAUGUUUUCAUUA
rnacentral:rRNA from 1 species